CCUACGGGAGACUGCAGUGAGGAAUAUUGGUCAAUGGGCGCGAGCCUGAACCAGCCAAGUCGCGUGAGGGAAGACGGUCCUAUGGAUUGUAAACCUCUUUUGUCGGGGAGCAAAAGACGCCACGCGUGGCGUUCCGAGAGUACCCGAAGAAAAAGCAUCGGCUAACUCCGUGCCAGCAGCCGCGGUAAUACGGAGGAUGCGAGCGUUAUCCGGAUUUAUUGGGUUUAAAGGGUGCGCAGGCGGAAGAUCAAGUCAGCGGUAAAAUUGAGGGGCUCAACCUCUUCGAGCCGUUGAAACUGGUGUUCUUGAGUGAGUGAGAAGAAUGCGGAAUGCGUGGUGUAGCGGUGAAAUGCAUAGAUAUCACGCAGAACUCCGAUUGCGAAGGCAGCAUACCGGCGCUCAACUGACGCUCAUGCACGAAAGUGUGGGUAUCGAACAGGAUUAGAUACCCUAGUAGUC
rnacentral:rRNA from 1 species